rnacentral:rRNA from 1 species
UCCAGCUUGCUGGAUGCUGACGAGCGGCGGACGGGUGAGUAAUGCAUAGGAAUCUGCCCGAUAGUGGGGGAUAACCUGGGGAAACCCAGGCUAAUACCGCAUACGUCCUACGGGAGAAAGGGGGCUCCGGCUCCCGCUAUGGGAUGAGCCUAUGUCGGAUUAGCUAGUUGGUGAGGUAACGGCUCACCAAGGCCACGAUCCGUAGCUGGUCUGAGAGGAUGAUCAGCCACAUCGGGACUGAGACACGGCCCGAACUCCUACGGGAGGCAGCAGUGGGGAAUAUUGGACAAUGGGGGAAACCCUGAUCCAGCCAUGCCGCGUGUGUGAAGAAGGCCCUCGGGUUGUAAAGCACUUUCAGCGAGGAAGAACGCCUAGCGGUUAAUACCCGCUAGGAAAGACAUCACUCGCAGAAGAAGCACCGGCUAACUCCGUGCCAGCAGCCGCGGUAAUACGGAGGGUGCAAGCGUUAAUCGGAAUUACUGGGCGUAAAGCGCGCGUAGGUGGCUUGAUAAGCCGGUUGUGAAAGCCCCGGGCUCAACCUGGGAACGGCAUCCGGAACUGUCAAGCUAGAGUGCAGGAGAGGAAGGUAGAAUUCCCGGUGUAGCGGUGAAAUGCGUAGAGAUCGGGAGGAAUACCAGUGGCGAAGGCGGCCUUCUGGACUGACACUGACACUGAGGUGCGAAAGCGUGGGUAGCAAACAGGAUUAGAUACCCUGGUAGUCCACGCCGUAAACGAUGUCGACCAGCCGUU